rnacentral:rRNA from 1 species
GACGGAGGAUGCAAGUGUUAUCCGGAAUCACUGGGCGUAAAGCGUCUGUAGGUGGUCAAAUAAGUCAACUGUUAAAUCUUGAGGCUCAACCUCAAAAUCGCAGUCGAAACUAUUCGACUAGAGUAUAGUAGGGGUAAAGGGAAUUUCCAGUGGAGCGGUGAAAUGCGUAGAGAUUGGAAAGAACACCGAUGGCGAAGGCAGCUCACUGGGACGUUACUGACGCUGAGACGCGAAAGCGUGGGGAGCAAACAGG